rnacentral:SRP_RNA from 1 species
CCGCGCAGCCGGGGAGAUAGCGGUGCCCUGUACCUGCAAUCCGCUACAGCAGGGGUGAUACCGAUCCGAGGCUGCACUGUUGUGAAGCAGCACUCUAUAAGUGGUGAUGACGUUUGGGUCUCGUGCGGCAGAAACCCGCGAACCGUGUCAGGUCGGGAACGAAGCAGCACUAAACGGGAGCUUCUGGGCGACGCGAGGCAGCCUGGACUGAGCUAACUGUAGAGAAAGCGUUUGUGACAUGUAGUCGACGUGAGGUGCGCGG